UACAGAGGGGGCAAGCGUUGUUCGGAAUUACUGGGCGUAAAGGGCGCGUAGGCGGCCUUCUAAGUCGAACGUGAAAUCCCUGGGCUCAACCCAGGAACUGCGUCCGAUACUGGAAGGCUUGAAUCCGGGAGAGGGAUGCGGAAUUCCAGGUGUAGCGGUGAAAUGCGUAGAUAUCUGGAGGAACACCGGUGGCGAAGGCGACUACCUGGCCUGUUCUUGACGCUGAGGCGCGAAAGCUAGGGGAGCAAACGGG
rnacentral:rRNA from 1 species